GUCGGAUACCCUGGAACUGGAUUUAUGUACAGUUGUUAGCUGCCAGAGGCCUAAAUGAAGCAGAAAGCUGAACAAAACAGAAGGAUGAGAGUCACCAAGGCCUUUCAAGACUCUGCUGGCUUAAGGUUCUUCAACAAAGUCAGACGUUUGUCAACUGACCUGACAUUUUAAAAUGACAGUCACUUCAUGGAAGCCACCAGUACUAAGAAAGGAGAAGUUCACAGAAGCUUCCCUACAGACCUCCAGCAUCUCACUGAAUAUCAUGGCAAGGAGGGGCCCUGUGUGACCGACCAUAUUCCUGAGGAGACGUGAACAAGCAUCUACUCAUCCCACAUAGAAAACCUAUAAUAGACCAUCGAAGUAAGGAUACCACUAAAGUCUAGCUUGGUGAACCAAUAACUUUUAUUGGGGUUAUUUAGCAGAAAAGACUCAAAGACAGCUGCAUCAUCAGACCUCACCCCAGCAUGGGUGGUGACUCACAAAAGCUAAAAACCUGGAGCACACUGCACAACUUGCAGACAGUUCAGCAGGUUGGAGAGUAUCUCUUUCAGGCAACUCAGGUGGUCUCUACUCUCAGGCAGCUCUGUUGGUCUCUCAGAUUCCAUAGGCUUUAUGUGUUAGAAAGGAGGGGCCUAGUGAAUCUAGUUAGUUUCAGAACUUCUCCAGAGCUUUUGAGUUGUUUACUUCUUGGGCUUAAUAAGGUUCCUUGCAGGAUAAAAUGUUUCACCUCCCUUUAGAACAUCUGUGUCUUAAGGAGCCUCCCUCCAAGACAAGUUUUAUCUCAGAGGAAACUGCUGAACCACUUCUGGAAGCUCAAGCAGAGACACCCAGAAGUGUUGAUUCUUGUUGAUUCUAAAUCCUUCAAAUUGAUGGAAGAGUACUGCAGUGCCCCACCCUUGAAAUUCACAAAUAAGAUAUUUCAGGCAUGCCCAGAGCCCCUGAAGCCCAUCCACGGAUGACUGACCACAUGAGGGAAAGCCUACUGAAAAUCCACUCCAGCUUUCAGCCUGGUCCUGCACAACAUAACGGCCUCUGGGUUCUACUUUGGCGUUCCGGUUUUAGUCAUGUGGUAUGUCUGCUGGUUACUCAUUCUCUUCUCUGCAACAGAAGAACCUUGACAGAAUCUAAAGAGAAAUCACAAGAAAAAUGGAGUUUUGACUAUUUUCAUACUUUCUGUUGAAGAUAAAAACCAAACAUUUGAAAACCAAAUCCCUUUAAAAAAAAUUUUUUUUGAGACAGGGUCUCCCUGUAGCCCAAGCUGGCCUAAAACUCACUAUGUAGACCAGACUGGCCUCGAAUUCACAAAGAUCUGCCUGCCUCUGCCUCCCAAGCACUAAAACUAAAGAUGUAUACCUCCCUGCCUAACUCCUU